UGCAUUCACUACUGUAAGACACUCUGGAUAAGAGCGUCUGCUAAAUGACUAAAA
rfam:Salmo salar isolate Sally breed double haploid chromosome ssa02, whole genome shotgun sequence.